UAAAGGUUGGUACCUGUGCCCGUUGCUCCUCGUGUUUUCUAAGGACUUUGCAGGAGAUACAUUGCAUUGCACGUUGGGCAAGUCGAUUAUACGGGAAGUCCCUGCUCAGCCAGCCUCGGCCCAGGGGAAGGAUGGACGCUGGCAUCUGUGGACUCUUACUAUGCGGCUGAACCGUUUGGAAUUGCUGUAAUAGGUUUCAAGGGGACAGAGGCUUUCACGUGCCCAGCCCACUCCAGCCCGGAGCAGGGCAAUAUUUCAUGUGGGGACCACCAAACACACCUGGUCAGAGCCCAGCGCCCAGGAAACUCUACCUGCCCUGGUGGUGUGUGAUCCAGGGAGAGUCCAAACGUCUCUGGACAAAGUCACCUUGUUGUCUGCUUACAAAGGUUCAGAGGAGCCUGGAUUCCUUUCUGACACCUUGUGAAGAUCUUUUUCCUGCAAACAAUACCAAAAUCCUCAGAAAACCCCUUCAGAAACAGCAGAAGUGUCUCCAUGAUGCCAAACAUCUGGGUGAAAAUCACAAAGCUUUAGUGAAUUCUUUGUGAAGACUUUUCUUCGUCCAUCCCGUCAUUCAUUUAUUCAACAAAUGUUUAUUGGGUGUUUAUUGUAGACAUGAUCUUACUGCCAAAGAACUUAGAAGGAGAGAAAGUUAUGCACACAUGUUAAUAUUAUUACAGAAGAAAGAAACUGGAGAGUGCCACAAGAGAGACGUAAAGAGACUAUCACACCUGAGCAGCUUACUCGUGCAUAGCUGGGAGAUUGGGGUUGCCUUCUGGACCAGAUGGCGUUUGGCUGAGCUUUAAACUGAGCGUUUUCAUUCUACCUUGAGUUUGAGGCUAUGGAACAGAGACACUUUGGGUUGCUCUGUAAGACUGGGAAGAGGAGCGGUGAGCUCACUCCAGAGUGAGAAGAGAUCGCCUUAUUAAACAAUAGCCUAAGAUGUGAGGCUGUAAAGGUAGAUGCAGAUGUAAAUGUCAGAAUAAAGACUUAACAGUACACAGAAGAAAGAGAAGUAGCGCGUAGAACGCUAUGGCAGCAGGAAAGGUGGGGAAGCAAGAAGAGGCUUGGAUUAUGACCGUGAGGGUGAAGGUCAGGGGUGGGUGUGCAUUUCAGAUCUGCCGGCUGUAGAACCAAUACCACUUCUGUGCUAUUUGAAUGUGAAUAUUGAUGCUUUUCCUGGUGCCAUAAACCAAAUUAGCGUGUACAUGAGAAGGAGUGUGUGUGUGAGGGAUAAGAAUAUAUUCAAUUUGGUGCACACUGAGCUUGAAGUGUAGACAGGAUAUCCAAGUAGGAAUGUGGAUGUCAGUGCUGGAGAGAUGUCAGGGUGGGGCCGUGGAUCUGGGAGUUCUGAAGAGGAGAUAACAGAAGCCCAGUGAUUGUCAGGCGAGUGUAUGUUGAGAGAGAAGAGAGAAGAUGGUCAAAAUGUUUGAUGACUUAAACACCAGGACACUUGGAAAAGUAUGGAUGUUCUAUGCGUCUAAACCAUCUGAAUAUCUACUUGAAUUUUCACUUUUCAUCUACAUGGUUUAAUAGAUGGGAAUAUUUAUAUUUAAACUUUUUGGUUAUUUUAAAAUUUAUUAUUAUAUGUGGGAAGCUGUGGUGAUUUCUAAAGUAUGAGUUUGGUGCCAGGGUCUAUAUGUAAUAAUCAUAUCCUUCCUCAAUCUUUAUUCUUUUAGUUUGAAAAGUCCAAACAAAGGGGAUUUCUUUAACUGGUCUCUUCAGUUAUGGACAUAAUUCAUUCAGUCCCCUGUGCCUUGGUUAUAUCUGAGCAUAUUUUGAUGUCUUGUGUCUUGGUCUUCAAGUAUGCUCAUUAAAACUCUACCUGACUUCUUUAUUGGAGGUUUUUGCAAGCUGCUCUGAAAAUUCUUUUUUGGUGAACAUUAGUUAAUAUUGAUCACAGGAAACAUUUUAGAACAGAUUUUUAUAUCAUUUGUGUUGGUUAGCUCUUGGACCACAUGACAUUUCAAAAUCCAAAGUCAGAAAAGAAUCUGGACUUCUUGUGCAAAUCUUCACAUAAGCCCACACUUCCUUUGUUGUGCAUUGAUGUCCUCCAUAAAGAUGUAGUAAAUAGUCUUAUUAUGUAAAGCUAUCUCAUUCAAGAGAGUUUAUAUGAUUUUGUGUGUGUGUGAAAGCAGAAAGCAGAGUGCUUCAUAUAUAGUUGGCAUUUAGUAAGUGCUAGUUCAAGUUAAAUUUAAAGUGAGCUUAAAAGGAGGUUGGCACCAUCAAUACUUAGAAAUCUAAGUCCUGUCCAUCUUGGUAAACAGAGCAGCAGAUCGCUGCUGAGGAAUGGACCAGUGGGAUGAAUAAUUUCCCUGGUUAGAAAACCAUUUUCAUAAUGAUAGGUCAUCUCUGCAAGGAAAUGUGCCUGUGUAAACAAGAUAAUUCCAGUCAAAACGAUAAGUAAUAUAUUUGUGUUUGAAGCCCUGGAAAUAAUACUAAAGAGAUUCACUUACAGGUUUUCAACACGUUUCAUAGAUGGCAAGAUAAAAGGGAAUACUACAUAUGUGAGUACACUUUAUCUCCUAGGAUGUGUUAAUGAACAAGGCUCUACAAAUUAUACUUUUGGGAGAAUACCUGUAAUUUUGAGAGGCGAAGAAAGUCAUUCAGCCUAGGAACUGGGAGAUAGGCUAAAGGAGUAUUUGCAGUGAACCCCUCUAGCCUUGUGCAUCUACAAAGCAUAUCUGGGGCAAUUUAGAACCUUUCCUGCCAGAAAUGAUAAAAAAUUAAAGCAAUUUUAUUUAUGCAGAAUUGAGAUAAAAUUGGCUUUUUUGAGAACUUAUUGCCCUCUCAGUUUACUAUGUUGCUUUAAUAAGACAAGUAUAAUUUCGAACUUUUUGUCAGUAGCUUUAAAAAAGAAAAGAAUCCUUCAAUGAUACAAUGAUAGUGUCUUCCCACCUACAUGUCCUCAGCUCAACUUACAGAUCUGAGGGUGUUUAUACAAAACACAAAAGAACGUAAACAUUUGAGAGGCCUUGUUAAUGACGGUAUAGAAACAAAUAAGUUUCACCCAAAAUUGCACAGUAUAUAUAUUUUUAUGACUCCAGUCUCUCUGCCUCCAUCUUCACAGAGUCGUCUUUUCUGUGUCUCUGCGGACAAUAAUUUUAAACCACUUGUCUGCUCUCAAGGAAUGAAUGAACCCUUUAUAGGACUAAACUCUCUUCCCUUUCUCUGUACG